UUUUGCUUUCAGCUUCUUUACAGUGUUGCCUUGUGGCAUGGAGUUCAAGCAGCAUUGUACAGGGCUAUCAAAGCAUUA
rfam:Xenopus laevis strain J chromosome 7L, whole genome shotgun sequence.